AACGAACGCUGGCGGUAGGCCUAACACAUGCAAGUCGAGCGGAUGAAGAGAGCUUGCUCUCUGAUUUAGCGGCGGACGGGUGAGUAAUGCCUAGGAAUCUGCCUGGUAGUGGGGGAUAACGUUCCGAAAGGAACGCUAAUACCGCGUACGUCCUACGGGAGAAAGCAGGGGACCUUCGGGCCUUGCGCUAUCAGAUGAGCCUAGGUCGGAUUAGCUAGUUGGUGAGGUAAUGGCUCACCAAGGCGACGAUCCGUAACUGGUCUGAGAGGAUGAUCAGUCACACUGGAACUGAGGCACGGUCCAGACUCCUACGGGAGGCAGCAGUGGGGAAUAUUGGACAAUGGGCGAAAGCCUGAUCCAGCCAUGCCGCGUGUGUGAAGAAGGUCUUCGGAUUGUAAAGCACUUUAAGUUGGGAGGAAGGGUUGUAGAUUAAUACUCUGCAAUUUUGACGUUACCAACAGAAUAAGCACCGGCUAACUUCGUGCCAGCAGCCGCCGUAACAC
rnacentral:rRNA from 1 species